rnacentral:rRNA from 1 species
ACGCUUGACCUCGAAUCAGGCAGGACUACCCGCCGAACUUAAGCAUAUCAAUAAGCGGAGGA